rnacentral:rRNA from 1 species
UACGGGAGGCAGCAGUGGGGAAUUUUGGACAAUGGGCGAAAGCCUGAUCCAGCAAUGGCCGCGUGCAGGAUGAAGGCCCUCGGGUUGUAAACUGCUUUUGUACGGAACGAAAAGCCUGGGGCUAAUACCCCCGGGUCAUGACGGUACCGUAAGAAUAAGCACCGGCUAACUACGUGCCAGCAGCCGCGGUAAUACGUAGGGUGCAAGCGUUAAUCGGAAUUACUGGGCGUAAAGCGUGCGCAGGCGGUUUUUGUAAGACAGUGGUGAAAUCCCCGGGCUCAACCUGGGAACUGCCAUUGUGACUGCAAAGCUAGAGUGCGGCAGAGGGGGAUGGAAUUCCGCGUGUAGCAGUGAAAUGCGUAGAUAUGCGGAGGAACACCGAUGGCGAAGGCAAUCCCCUGGGCCUGCACUGACGCUCAUGCACGAAAGCGUGGGGAGCAAACGAGGAUUAGGAUAACC